AGCUCACCAGGCGCUGCCCGUGGGGCAGGGGCGCUGCGGCUGCUUGGCUUUCUCCUUCCCAAUAGACCUGACCGAAUAGCACAAAUCAUUUGCUGCAAGAAGUAAAAGAGAAGCUGAUGAUCCAGUGGCUCAGGGAAGGGUGGCCACCACACAGAGAGACUUUCCUAACUUCACAGACAUCUUGCGAACACCUGACAAUGCCAACAAAAAGAAUAAUUGAAAAAAAUGCCAGAAGGAUGUAUUAAACAUUCUUGAUUGAGGAAUGGAUUAAGCUAUUUUUUUUAAACCUAAAUCUGAGCAUAUUUGUGUUCUGAGGACUUCAAGGCUACAAACACUGUCCCAAAAUCAGACAAAACAGGGCAGAUUAUUCUCUCAGUUAUAUUGUUAUACAGGACAUCUGUGUUGAAUUCAGUAGAUUUAUGAGCAGAUGUAAACCCAGAUAGUCUCCACCAAAGAAUAUUUAAACCCUAGAUUAAAUGUUCUUAGCAAAUUUUGAGUCUAUGCAUAUUAACAAUUAUAAUAUUUAUUUAAUGUUUUCUUUUAAUAUCCAUUUCAAAUGCACUGUUUGGUACUUGGAAUGUACUUCAGCAAUGAAAAGUACUCAUGCCUCCCUAACAGGAAUAACGCCUCUAGAAAAUUUUCAAAAAUAAUGUCACAUUUUCUUGAGCCCUGGGGUGGUUUGGCCACCAAUGAACUGCUUUUCUGGGAAGAAAAAAGAAUGGAGAGGAAGUAUAGCCUGAAUUUGUGCUGUGUAUUUGCUACUCUUUGAACUGCACACAAAAGGUGAUUCAGAUCAGUAGCAUCCCUAAAAGGCAUCACAGUUGAGUACUGAGAGUCCAACCACACUGUACUGUGAGCAUAGAAUCUAUUACUAUGGCUUCUGUGGCUCAAAGUUAAAGGUGAUUUUUAAGAACAAGUUAAUGACUAUUAGUUUUCCUCCUGCUUCACACCAUAAUCAGAUCAUUUGAAACACCCUAAGCAGAUAUUAGGGUGUAUUACCGUGUGUCUUCAGGAAAAUCUAAUGAGAGGAACCAGCAGAUAGUAAGCAAAAACAUUGUUCUUAUUUAUGUGCUGACACGAAGUGCAGUUCAGCUCUGUUCUAGGGAUUUUAUGUACACUUGGGGGAGAAGACUUGUUUUCUGUUUGCAAUAGUUCAGGCUGACUGAAGUGAGGAAUCCUCAUUUCACAGAGAGGAAACAAAGCAUUUGCUGAAAAAACUUCACUGAAGCAGCUAUUAAGCCCAGACCAUGGUCCAUAUAUGAAGUAAAAGACCUCAACAACAGUCAUCUUCCAACCAGAAAAAAUCAGAGUGCUGCCACAGAACACUUCAUGGGUAGUAACAUUGAGCGUGAACUGGUAACUCCACUGAAAAUAAAUAUGUGUGCUUGUUGCUUAUUUUCUUAAUGAUGGCAAUAGAGACUCCCUCUGUAGAAAUUGCAGGAUGUGUCAGCUAGAAUGUAUAUAUGAUUUAGUCUACUGUACCUUUGCCUAUGUAGUUGCUUUCUGCAUACCAAUUUAUCUCUCUGAGAGAGAAUUUCAGACUUGCAACAGAUUAACACAGUUCUCCUGUACUGCUUUUAUUUAAUGUGCAAUAUAAACAAGUGGUUCCUCUUCUGGGCCCAAACAUGGAAUUCCCCCAGAGCUACCCUGGACAAAAUGAGCACACCCAAGAUGAACAAAAUUAAAAUGAAAAUCAAUAAGCAUAAUGAUUCCAUCACUGUCAUUUCCUGAGUCCUCGGGAUAGCCUCCGUUUUGAAAAAGGUCACUUAGAUUUGAGGUUUCAGGGUCGAGUACUCUUCAGUGCUUACUGCCUAGCAGAAUUUCCAAUCUAGUCUGAGGCUACCAGGUGAGUGAAGGGAAUUCAACACCUGAAAACUAGUGGUCCAAAAAGGGGGUUGGUUUUAACCAUUAUUUGAAUACCGUGCUUGCCUCACACUCACAGUGGGGAAAACUAUUCAUCACAACUUUUCAUCAUCUCUUCCAUAUGUAGAUGAAUGAGAAAUGUAAAAGCAUGUGCAGUAGCAAAAGUUACAUUGUACGCCUGGAGUUCUACUCUAAUGCCUAUUUUUAUUUGCUCAUGAUUCUAUAUACAUCAGUGGAAAAUAUUAUUUUCUAUAUUGUAAGUGAGCAUACAUCUCUGACUUCUUGUAAAUUUUAAUUUUAGGUAUCAUCCUCAAGUGAUUCAUAUUUUAUGUGAAAAAAAUAAAGUUCCACUAUGAUUUAGA